CGUGGCGUGAGCCUGCUUAGGGGCGGGAUGAAAAGCCCUUGGUGCGGCCGCGCCGCCAUGUUGUCCCUUCGGGGUCACCUUAGGCGUCGCUGGGUCCCUCACUGGGGUUUUCCUUCCGCUCACCCGGGGUUGGGGUAAUUGCCCUGCUUCGCUCCAGUCUGGCCCUUGAGGGUCUUUCCCAGCCCAAGGGCGGGACCCGGGUUCUCGCUCCGGCCUCCAAGGUCAGCGCCCUCCCGGGAUGGGGCAGAGUCCGGGGUGGGGGACGCUGAAGAGCGCCUCUUCACCUCUUCGGCCCAGGUCCCUUGGCACGGGGCCCACCGUGUGACAGUCCUGUCACUCUUUCCUGGCCACUUCAGUUACAUUUUUAAAAAUUAGAUGGGGCUUGGGAAGGAGGAGGUAAAGGGCCCAGGUGUCUGGCCGAUAGGUUGACGCUCUGUUUCGGAUCACGGGCGCUAGUCACGCUCGCUAACUUUGCAUUAAAUCUAGAUCCCAUUCCCUUUCCUCCAGUAUAUGGGGAGUGGCCCUCAAGGGCGGCUGAAGGAACUGAAUGCCUGAAAAGGAAGAAUUGGGGGAGGGGGACAGUUGCUUUUUCCUUCCUCCCAAAUCUCUUAGUUUCCUCCCAGGCACCCGUGUUCCUUUUCAGCGAUUAAUGUUGGGAAACUGGGGUCUGUCCUAGGAAAGAAACAGCUUUUUUUGUUAAUAGGUUUGGAUCGUCUUUUAUCCCUUUCAGGGAACUGGCAUGUUGGGGACGGCUUCUCUGCCCUGCCUGACAUGGUCCAACCAUCCCACAUCAGCCUUCUGGACGGCAACACCAAAGCCGGGACCCAAAAAAAAGCUCCAACUUAAGCGCUAAUACCGAGUGUUAGAUCAUGUGUGUUUAUUUUAAAUCAGAGAUUAAUGUCAAGCAAAUCAGUUCAAAGAUUUGGUUGCUAGAAGCUUGGUCAGUUUCCAGUAAUCAGAUCAAUUCUCUAUCCAAAAUUGGUUGUCUUAGAGUUGCUGCCAAGAAGUUUAACCUUUUCUCUGUAAUGUGUUGUUUCAAAGUGGAAUCUGGGUUAGGCUGUCUUUUGUUGUCGUCGUUUUCCUAUCUUUGAAACACAUGCAUUCCAUUUCAAGCCUGUCACUGUGUGAUACACCAGAGCCAUGUGUUACCAGUCUUUCUCACUUCCUGCUCUGGAAAUGCUCAGGAAUCUGGAUCCUGCUGGAGUAUGGGCCCCACGGGAGGGGGAGAUGGGAAGAUAAAGGGAAUCAUUCCCAGAGAGAAUGGUGACAACAUGUCUCAGGGGCCUAUGGAGUAAGUGAGAGGUCCCCCCUGGAAAAAGAAACCCUUAGACAGAGUGUGACACGAUUAACUCUCCAGGGGAAAAUUAACUGCAAAUUCAGGAUCUCCCUUUGGAGUACUGCUCCUGAGAAAAUACAAGUUUGAAAAUAGAUGUCUAGUAAAUGGCUCACAACAAACCUGCUUUCCUAUCCGGCCUAUGUGUACUAAGCUAUGCUGGCCCUACAAUUGAACUUCAAGAAACUUGUCUCUGCCCUGCUCCCAACACAGACAUCUGUUCCUUUAAUCACAAUUCAUAUAUGCCACACACAGAGGUGACAGUAUCACACACAGCACCCCACACUUCUGAAACUUGUACCCAGCUCCUCACCCCUAGAUUUAAAUUCAACUCAUUAGGCAUUAGUCCCAAGGGUCUGGCCUGUUGUUGGAGUCCCACAAAGCCAUUCCAGUCUCCUUACAAGUCACUUGCUCGCUCCGUCCCUGGCCUUGUUGGGGAGGGUGGGUUUAGGGGAAAGGGACAUUUAGCUCUGUGUACCAAGGCUUUACAAUAAAAUGAAAACAUCCCAUUGCUCUCUGUGAGAAUAAAAUGUUUUAAUGGUAUAGCUUGUGGAAAACAUUUUAUAAACAAGAUAUAUGUGGAUCAGACUUCUCACCAUUGCAUGAGUAUAGAAAGUGAACACAUUCCUUUUGUCUUCUCUGGUGGGUUAAGUUUGUCACCAGAACAGGAGGGUUGGCUGGUAGGGAAUGAAAGUGGAAGUAGACAGAUUCACAUGCAGGCGCACCUAUGGGAUACAGGCAAGGCAACCCUUAGCUCCUGGAAGUCUGUCAUCUUAACCAUGUCACAUUCAGAGCCCUGCUGUUGGAUGGAUGGAGGAAAGGGGCUUUGCCAAGAUUACCUGGAAAGUCCUGGGGGUUAAAGCCUCCUGCCUUCUUGGGGGUAAGGAGUGUAGAAGGUGUUGUGUCCACAGCAUCCAGACCCGUACUGCUUUGGCCUUCAUCCAUAAAUAUUACUGCUUUACUAACUGAGUUGAUGUUAGAGUAUCUGGGGUAGUAGAACAGUAGGCACACCCCUGGAAGCCUCUGAGGAGACAACAGUCUUCAUUGAGAACACAAAUCAAGGGCCAGUAUUUAGCUCAGUGGCACUGUGCCUGCCUUGCAAGCUCAAGUUCCUGAGUUCAAUCCCUGGUAUUGCCAAAAAAACCCAAACCAAAACAAAACAUUAUAUAGAUGGUUCUUAGCUUUAGUGUGGAAAACUGCAGAAACUUCAGCCUUCAGGCCUGUCCAAAGUAAGAGCUUCAGGAGGAAAGAGGUGUGGGCAUUGCCUGCUGCUGAGUCACUCUGGGCAAGAAGAGACCUGCCUCACCUUUAGGCUGUGGUAACGACUAUGAGUACCCCAGUAAGGAAGAUGGAGUUUCAGAUUGCACAUCCCACCCAAGUCCUGAUGAUUCUUGAUUGCUGCUUUGACAGAAUGUUUCUAGCAUCUGGUGGUUCAGCAGAAUUUUAAAGGGGAGCUAAAGGUGAGAGCUGGGAGGUGACCUGGCUGGGUUGCCUAAGCUGAUUUUAUUGAUGGUAAAGCCAUGACCAGACCAAAAUCUGCACCCCUUGUCCCAUAAUUCUGAGGCAGAGAGAAGUUGUAGGUGUCUUUAGAGGUCCUGGUGAUUGGGUAGAGAAACUUAAGGCCCUUGCAUGGGGAGGGAAAUUCAGGUUCAAGGGGGUGAAGUACUUUGUACUUCAGUGUGGCAACUAUGACUAAGGGAUUUUAGAAAGUUGCAGGAAGAGAUUCAUGACCUUCCAGCUCCCUCCCUUCAUGUUGACCCAGGAACAAGUGUAUGGUGACAGGGACAUAUAAAGCCAGAGAUGAGACUGAACAGGUGGCAGGGGCCUUUUGGUGCGGCAGUCAGCUGACCCUGUGUAAAAAAAUGCCCUGGCUCGCUGAGGAGGGGAACAGACCAGCCAGUUCACCAUCCCUGACUUGAUGGCAGGGGAGAGCCCAUGGACAGGGACUUGGAUCCCUGCUGCCUUGGUGAUCCCAGGCUGACAGCCAGAGAGCACAGCGGCUCAGCUCCUGGAGAGAGGGUUGAAGAAAGCAGAGGGCAGCCACCUGCACCCACUGGCUCCCAUUAGGUCGGUUCCUGCAACGGUGGCCGGCAGCCUCGGUGAAGGCCCUGCCCGGCAGAGAUCA